rnacentral:rRNA from 1 species
UACGUAGGGUGCGAGCGUUGCCCGGAUUUAUUGGGCGUAAAGGGCGCGUAGGCGGUGAGAUGCGUCCGUUGUGAAAUCGCCCGGCUCAACUGGGCGGGGUCAGCGGAUACGGUCUCACUUGAGCAAGCUAGGGGGCAAUGGAAUUCCCGGUGUAGUGGUGGAAUGCGUAGAUAUCGGGAGGAACACCAGUGGCGAAGGCGGCUGCCUGGGGCUUUGCUGACGCUGAGGCGCGAAAGCGUGGGGAGCGAUCCGG